CUUGUGCUAGGCAAAUGCAAACUCUUCAGUGUUUCCAACUUCUACUCUGAGCUCUUAAGCAAACAUGCCUCCUAACACUAAUUCCCUUGUCCUAGCCCAAUGGAGAGUGUAAUAGCUUACAACACAGCGUGAACAAGAAUACUGGGAAAGGGAGAAAGAGAGAGAGAGAGAGAGAGAGAGAGAGAGAGAGAGAGAGAGAGAGAGAGAGAGAGAGAGAGAGGAAGAGAGAGUGUGUUCCUCUACCAAGGGAGAGGGUUAACCUCUACACAGAGUGAACAAAGAGAGAUAAGGGAGGGAUGGAAGAGGGGGAAGAUCUACUACACAUGGCAUACAGUGUAUGUAUUAUACUCUGUUGUCUCAACACUAUGUAUCUACACUUGAUCAUACAUAUUAACUCAAUGGCACUGUUGCAAAGUAUAUACACUAUUCACCUAAUUUGCAAUUAGAGUAAGUUCUGAAAGAUAUAUUGUAAACCUGGAAAGUACCAUUGGUGAUAUAACAUUUAUCUUUUCUUUAUCAACUCUAAACAAACUCUUAUUCUAUCUACAUGCUCCAAUACUAAACUGGGGAUAAACUUCCAUAAGAAUGUAUAACAGGUCUGUACUUCAUUCUAUGAGAACCUUACAGACAUAAACAUUCAAAGUUUAUGAUUUUACCUACUAUUCUUUGCAUCAGAAAGUUCAAACCACAAUGGAACUACAUAAUGUUCAAUUAAUAAUACUCUUCCAAUGUACUUCUUUUCUGGCAUAGAAAUCACAAUCAAUCAACAUCAUUCUUCAGCAAUUAAUACUUCUUAGAACUUCUUCUACAUCAUAUAGUCACACACAUAAUCAAUAACUUUUAACUGGUAUUAGUUGAUAUUCAACAUCCAAUCACACUCAACAAUUCAAUGAUUAUAAUAACUUGAAAGAUGAACCAAGCUUACCUUUAAAUGAAGAGAAAAGACAUACACGUGUUAUUUCUUGGUAAAAGUAACAGUAGAAUGCCCUUCUCACAAAGUGUGGUCAAACUCCUGCAGUAUCUGGACUCUUCGAUUAUGUUACAGGGGUAACCAUCAUUACCAGUAGAGGGACUGCCAGGUGCGCUAAUUAAAGGCCUGUAUGUACCUUUGUGUACUUUGUGGGCCUGCCCACA